CUAGAAGGUUCUUUGGUUGGUGAUCCCUCCUCUGUGGAGUUUCCCUUGUGAGCCUAGCUCUUCAGAGGCAGAUGCAUGGGGUUUCACAUGGAGCUCCGCUAAUAGGCUGUCUCUUGGCAAUCAUCAAAUCUGUUCGUGCUGAAGAUGUUCAUGAGACCUCUGAUCAGUGAGAGGAACUGGAAUAUUUGAACAAUCCAAAGUGAAUGGGAACUGUUUAUCUCAGGAAAUCAGGAUACUUUCACUCAAUUCUCC